CUUCACACUCCUUCAUCUUCUUCUGUGCUCCAUCAAAUUCAUAGUUGACAUAAACACAUGCCAAAAACUCCGUGAUGGGAUCUUUGUAAGAGCACUGAUCUUGCUGGAUAACCUUGAUAAAUUCUUUGAAUUGAGGUCUUCUCCUUUUGUUGACAAUAAAAGCAGUGGCUAAGUACCUUAGAAGAUGGGGAGCACUGGUUUGAAUGGCAUUUAGAUACCUGGAAAGAAGUGAAAUAACCUUGUAAGAAGAGACAACUACACAAAGUUGGAUAACAAAGAAAGGAAAUAAUGCAUUAACCAAUGAAAAAAACAGUAAAAAUAUCCAACUUCAAACACAAAUUUAUGUUUAGUUCCAACAACAAUCUCCCUUAUGAAACAAAAUUCCAACAUAAGCAAUAUGGCGAACAUAUCACAUACUUUAGCCUCGAAACUUUGAACAAAUACUUUGCUAAUUACAUGGCACGCUGUGUGUUAACUUUUCAUAUUAAAAAAAACAAUGCAAGUGACAGAAGAAAUCUACAAAGCUUCUAAACAUGUUCCAUUACAACGCAAUCAAAAUUGAAGCAUGUGAACAUCAGAAGUCAUGGCAUAAAAAUGCAGGAAAAUGCACAAAGAACAAAGAAGCACAAAUAUCAAGUGACAACUACACAAAUGAUGCAACUAACAACAUCAGUAACAAGACAUGGAAACCUUAAGGUUAGUUGUUAAAGUGACAUACUUGUCUUGAUUAAAUAGGUCGAUGAUUUGUGUUCUUCCAUUGUCAUGGUUGAAAAAGAUGAAGAGGCUCCAAUGCAUGAGCCAUAUUCUACUCUGAACUUGGUUCAAAGGUGAUGAGAAGCUCUGCAGCAAAAGACCAAUAAAUAAGUCAACGAAUAAUCGAAAAGCAAAUUGUCAAAAUAAAAACCGAAUAAUCAACAGGGAUAUAACCAAAACCUUGGAAUCGAUUAUUUCUUUCAAACGAUUAAGUUCUUCAAGAGCAAUAUCCCAGUUUUGCAUCAGUAUCUCGGCAGCAAGCUUCCCCCACAAUGCACUCAAACUCCUUUCGCUGUUACUACAUAAAGCCCGAUACUGAUACAGAUAGUCAGCAGCACCAGAGUAGUUGCCACACUCAAAUUGGAAUUUUGCAUACUGAUACAAUGCCUCUAUUUGAUCUGGACCAAUCUGUUAAAAAAUUAAUUUUAUCCACCAUUAAAUUUAAAAAAAAAACUUUAAUUAAUUCAAACCCAGUAAAAAUCAAAACUUUAACAACAAAGAGCAUGCUAGAAUUUUAGCAUAAGAAAGCAUAUGCAUCUACUUGGUUAUUCUUUAUAUUUUCCUUAAAAAUAUCAUAAUGUUAUGACUAAUACAAAUUCACACUUGAAUGGGUUAUUCACUAAAAAUCCUAAAGGGGUUAAAAAUAGCAUAAAAUAACCUUAAAUUCAUAAAUAAAGGCAGAAAAAACAGACCUGGUAGCGGUCAUUAAGCAUCUGGAGAUUAUACUGUUUAUCAGCACGCAAUUCCUGAACAGCGUUAGGGUUUUGCAAGAAAGAGACGAGAGGAGCGGCGGCAUCUUCCAAAGCUUUGAGACGAGCGACAACCUCGACUCUCCUCUCGACCAUGUCCUGAGGGACAUCAGCGGUGUGUAAAGGCUCUUAUGGAUAUCCAUAGCGUAAUCGACCAUGUUUGUCUUGUUCAAAAGCUCGAUCUUUGCUUUCAAGAUCUGUUCAUCUGGGUAUAGUUGUCGCUCUUGCAAGAACUCCAGCAAUGGAAACACUAAGUGCCUGUCUAGGUUCGGGCCGAUACGCGGGGUUAUAUCGUAAGUAGCCAUUGCCAGGGUUUACUCUGGUUUCUGGCUUCGUGCUUAUUGUUUGAUAUAAACAAAUUUUUAGUAUAUAUAUUCCUUCUCCACUCCCUCAAUUCAAAUGGAGUUAAGAGUUAAAAUAUAGUUUUAAAUUUAUUUUUUAUUUUCGAAUUAAAUAUAAUAAGUUGUUUUUACAAAAAAAAAAUACUAACCAUUUCUAAAAAAAUAUUUAUUAAUAUUAUUUAUAAUAAUUACUAGAUGAUACUAAUAUAUUUUAUACUAAUUUAAAUCUACUCCAAUAUAAAAUAUAUGUUUAAAAUUUCGUUUAAGUCACAUAUUGUUUGUAUUCCUCCCCCAUCCUUCUUCAGGAAUAGACAAUAUUAUUUGGACAUGCAUGGCUUCAAGUUUCUUUUUGAUCCAUAGCGUAUUUUAGCCUCUCAGAAAAUUUUUGGAAUUUUAAGGAUAUCCUCUAUAAGAAUAGCUGAAAAUACCAAUGGUCACAAAGAGUUAAUUUUUUUUCUUUGACUAGCCUUCAAGCAAAGACUUUUGUCUAAUCUAGAGCGAACUAGACGAGGAAUUGAUCAUAAUAGCUCAUAUCCUAUUUGUGGCCACGAAACAGAAGACAUGCUCCACGUGCUUCAAGAUCGUUCGGCAUCAAAGGAGGUUUGGUUACAGGUUAUAUCUUCUGGUAGAUAGUAGCGUUCUUCUCUGGGUUUCUUCAAGAAUGAUUGACUUCAAAUCUUGCCUGUCACGUCCAGUUGCCUAGUUGAGGGUUAAUUUAAUAUUGUUUAUUCAAUUUAAUUGUGUGGCGCAUUUGAAAGAAUAAGAAUCUGUUCAUCUUUCAAGACAUCACUUGGAUGACUCUCGGUACUAUCAAGGUCUCAUUUAGUUGGGCAUAACAACUUGAGUUAAGUCACAAAGGCCAUCAACAUUCUAAGGAAUCUAACGGUUCUUGAUCAGCCAUGGGGAAUACGUGAACACACUUAUUCACUGAUGGAACAGUAGCUAUUGGUAAUGGUAAUGCUUUCGUUGGAAGUGUUUUGCGAGACCAACAUGAGAACUGGACAUUGGGGUUUAAUCACUACAUUGGAAGAUACUUACUUUUCGAGGCUAAAUUAUGAGAAAUUUUAGAUGGUCUACUAGUAUCGUAGCAAAGGAUUUAAAAGGGCCACGAUGCAGUCUAAUAACCUUGAGAUGAUUAGGUCCUUACAAGAAAGUUAGUUAACAAAUUCUAGUAUUACAAUGCUUAAAAUGAUCAGAAGAAUUUUGCAAGCUAAAGGACAAUAGAGCAGUAGACACGCGCCUAGAGAACUUAAUCAUGCUGCUGAUUAUUUGGCUAAGAUGAAUUUACCGGGAAGACAAGCCUUCAAGUCUUUGAUGACACCCGGAACGAAGUUUUAAAGAUUAUAUAACAAGAGAAAGAUAAUGAUGUUUUUGUUAAUGUCAUGUUGAUGUAGUUCAGUUUUUAAUUUAAACACUAAAAAAAAUUUCAUUUAAAUUUAUUCAUAUUUAAGCCCGCCUGUAUUAUUAUUUUCAAAAUUUUAUAUUAUUUUUAAUAGGGGAGAGAUCCCUUACAUAUUAUUAUUUUUAAUAACACAUUUAAAUCCAAAGUUCUCAACACAACGCUGUACUUUUAAUAACUCGGUACAAGCAUUUAAAAAAUUUCUUGACAAAAGUUGAAAGAGCACCAUACAAUUUAGAUUUAGAUAAUGAUUUAUCAGUCUUGUUCCUACUCAAAAACUUAAAUCACUGUUAAAUUUGUCUGAAAGAAAUAAACAAUCAGCAAAUAGCUCAAAAUUGCAUAUAAAUUCAAAAGAUCUUCCUUGUCCGUCCAACUUAACGUGCAGGCUGUGCUUGUGCGUGCUCGAGAAGCUGGCCGACUAGCUUGUAGGUCCGCCCUUGAAGGGCCUUAGUGUGGUCGAUCAGCUGCUCGUAACUGGAGAAAUCCAGUAUCCAAAUUGGAAGUCAUUAAGAGAAGAGGAACAAACAAAUGAAGUUAUGGAAGGAACAUAGUAUGAAAGAUGCACAAUAUUUAGAACAAGGAAAUCUUACACAUUCGGUUGAUUAGGCUCCAUAAUAACGGUUCCAGUCUUUGAAUCAAUCUUUGCAUCAAGUUUAGAGUUUCGGAUGAGAUUCACAAUCCAUCUCUCACCCUCCUCGUAAUUUAAAUUCAGUUUCUCAAAAAGCACCCUUGAAACACAUAAAACAUCCAUUUAAUGUUGGAUCAAAAUCUAAGAAAAGCAACUAAAACAACAUAAUCUCAUAAGUAAAAGCAUAUCUUGAAAGAGUUACGAAGACCAACGGGAAGUAACCAAUAUAAUAAGAGAUAUUCGAGCCCAUGUUACUUGGAUUUGGGCGAGUUUCAGAUACGGGUAUGUUUAAUUGUUUUCUAAGUUUUUCCAUGUAUUGAAGGGUCAUAUAUUCAUAAUCGCAAGACAAAUACUUCAAGAAAAAUGAACAGUCGGGAAAUGCAUAGAUAAUAGCAAACCAAAGGUUUAUGUUGUGAUGGUUUGUGAUCUGUGCACAUGCCUGCUGUGCAGAUGAAAACAUGCAUUACAGAUAGAAAGGUUUUUAUCUGUUUUGAUUUAAUAUUUUGUACAAAAUUUCAUCAAUCCUUAACAUGCAAUUAGCCAUAAAAAAUUCAUAACUCAGUGCAAUGUUAUGGGAAACCCAGCAUGCAAAGCACACUUUGAGCCUAUUGGCAAUUUAACAUUCAAAUGGAUCGUGUCAUUUACUCAUAAGACGAAGUCAAUUAUCCACAUAAGAAGCUAAUUAUAUAAGUUUGACAAAGCAGGAACUUACCCCAUAUCAAUGCGCUGAUGAAUUCUGCAGUAUGUCUCGAAGAUAAAUAGACGAGCAUUCUCAAGAAAUUCAUCUUUUAAUGGGACAGUAGAAAAGUUGCCCUCUUCAACUCUUUUUCCAAGGAAGGGAUCAUUCAGUAUCACCUACAACAAAGACGGAAAAAUAAGGGUGUAAAAGAUAGAGCCUACAAUUCCAAUAUCAAACAAAAAGCUAAAGGCAACCAAAGAAGAUGACGAAACUUCAAGCUAAAACAUUGCACAAUUUUAUGGUACAAGAUACUACAAUCUAACUUACUUCUUCGCACUCCUUCAUCUUCUUCUGUGCUCCAUCAAAUUCAUAGUUGACAUAAACACAUGCCAAAAACUCCGUGAUGGGAUCUUUGUAAGAGCAUUGAUCUUGCUGGAUAACCUUGAUAAAUUCUUUGAAUUGAGGUCUUCUCCUUUUGUUGACAAUAAAAGCAGUGGCUAAGUACCUUAGAAGAUGGGGAGCACUGGUUUGAAUGGCG
rnacentral:lncRNA from 1 species